AACGAACGCUGGCGGCAGGCCUAACACAUGCAAGUCGAGCGAGAUCUUCGGGUCUAGCGGCGGACGGGUGAGUAACGCGUGGGAAUAUGCCUCUUGGUACGGAAUAGCCUCGGGAAACUGGGAGUAAUACCGUAUGUGCCCUUUGGGGGAAAGAUUUAUCGCCAAGAGAUUAGCCCGCGUUGGAUUAGGUAGUUGGUGGGGUAAUGGCCUACCAAGCCGACGAUCCAUAGCUGGUUUGAGAGGAUGAUCAGCCACACUGGGACUGAGACACGGCCCAGACUCCUAGGGGGGGCAGCAGGGGGGAAUCUUAGAAAAUGGGGGCAACCCUGAUCCACCCAUGCCGGGUGAGUGAUGAAGGCCUUGGGGUUUUAAAGCUCUUUCAGCGGGGAAGAUAAGGACGGUACCAGCAGAAGGAGCCCCGGCUAACCCCGG
rnacentral:rRNA from 1 species